CUCACAUUCUAAUAGUGGAGACAACAUGAAAAUAACUAGGUUCAUUGUUCUUAUUCAUCCUUUAUUCUCUCCUCUAGAUUAAUCUUCCCCAAUGAAAAUCAUUGCAAAGGCUUGGAAUCAGAAAUCAAUGAGGAACAGCUUCUACUCUUUGUUACUAAUUCCCACCCUCUGGGUCUUCUCUCUUCCAGGUCAAACAUUCCCAAUUCCCUCAGAUGAUCCUAGGCAAAGAACCUGAGGUUAUUUCUCAAAGUUUCUGUUGAUCAACAAUCUUUCUGAAAUGUAAAGGUUUUCUGUUGGCAGUUUGGGCAUCAUGUAAUUUCACCCAUCAGGGGUUGAGAAGAAUUGAAAUGGAAGAGCUUACAUCUUAGUCCAUACAAAUGAAAACCUUAGCCUGAAAUUUAGCUGAAGACAGAAGACAAUACCCUUUGAGAAUGGGAAGGAAGGGAUGGGAAGAGAUCAAGCCAUUUCUUAAGUGCCUUCUCUUCAUUAGGCACUAUACUGAGCACUUUGCAAUAAUAUUUCAUUCCUUUUGAGGUAGGUGCUAUUUAUUAUCCCCACUUUACAGAUGAAGGAACUGAGGGAGACAGAGGUUAAGUGACUUGCCCAGGAAUAAGAAUCCUAACUGACUUAUACAAUUAGUAAGUGUCUAAGGCUGGAUAUGUAUUCAGCUCUUCCUGACCUGAGACUCAGCACUCUAUCCAGGGUACCAACCAGCUGCAAGGCUGGGUAACAGAAAGAACCCUAAGAGUUAAGAGAACAUUACAGAAAGGCAAGGAGAAUGGGGUGCCAAAGAUAAACUUCUCCCAUCACAUAAUUUUGCUAUAGUUAGUUCUACUCAAUUUUCUAAUUUUCUUAAAGCUUGAUUUUAUAAAAGUAUUUGAAAUUAAUUUCAU